rnacentral:misc_RNA from 1 species
UUUCCGUAGGUGAACCUGCGGAAGGAUCAUUAUUGUAUAACCGAGGUGCGAGGGCUGUCGCUGACCCGAAAGGUCGUGCACGCCCGAGUGCCCCUAUACACAUCCAUCUCACCCCUAUGUGCACCACCGCGUGGGUCCCCCUUUGGCUUGUUCGGAGGGGGGCUUACGUUUUCACACAAACUUUGUAUGCAGUGUAGAAUGUAUUUUUUGUUCUUGCGAUCACGCAAUCCAUACAACUUUCAACAACGGAUCUCUUGGCUCUC